rnacentral:rRNA from 1 species
UCGUACCUUUUGCAUCAUGAUCUAGCCAGCAUACCCAAGCAAAGAGAACUGUAGUUUGACUCCCCGAAACUAAGUGAGCUACUCCGAGACAGCCUAAGAACUGGGCCAACCCGUCUCUGUGGCAAAAGAGUGGGAAGAUCUCCGAGUAGAGGUGACAGACCUACCGAACUUAGUGAUAGCUGGUUGCCCGAGAAAUGGAUAGAAGUUCAGCCUUAUCCCCCUCCAGUCACCGAUGUGCCACUACCUACUAGACACCCAAGAGAGACCGAUAAGAGUUAUUCAGAAGGGGUACAGCUCUUCUGAACCAGGACACAACCUUACACAGGAGGUUAAGGACCAUAGUCAACAAGGACAUCCGUUU